rnacentral:rRNA from 1 species
UACGGGGGGGGCAAGCGUUGUUCGGAAUUACUGGGCGUAAAGGGCGCGUAGGCGGUUUGCUAAGUUGAAUGUGAAAACUCUGGGCUUAACCCAGAGCCUGCAUUCAAUACUGGCAGGCUGGAGUUCUGGAGGGGAUAGCGGAAUUCCUGGUGUAGCGGUGAAAUGCGCAGAUAUCAGGAGGAACACCUAUGGCGAAGGCAGCACUCUGGGACGUGACUGACGCUGAGACGCGAAAAGCGUGGGGAGCGAACAGG